AAAUAUUUGAUGUUAAAUGAAAGCCCGGUUUCCCCUGAAUAAAAUGAUAUAUAAUAGGUGUGGGUGCACAUAAUAUGAAAGAGGUGAAUUACGGUUGAACAGACAUAUAGUCAAAUGCCAGGUUUUGUUAACGUUUUGUUUUGAUCACAACGUGUACAUUUGGCUCAGUCCUUAACCCCUUAACGCCGUUACAGUGUUCUAUGCCGUCGCGGCUUUACAGCAGUUGCGGUGGCAUUGAACACCGUAACAGCUUAAGCCCCCUGGAGAUUUGAUCAACUUACCUCCGCCGCGAUCCUCUUCUGGAGGGCUGCCGGACAGCCCAGGCAGCCCUCCCUCGGCAAAUGAGGCCCCCCUAUAGCUGGCUGUGGAUCUGCCAGCAAGGGGACUGUCUGAAAUAGCAUUUGAAAAAUACCAUUUGAAAAGGUAGACAAGCCAAGGUAUUGCAAGUGGGGUAUGUCCAG